rnacentral:rRNA from 1 species
AGAGUUUGAUUAUGGCUCAGGCUGUUCGCUGGCGGCGUGCUUAACACAUGCAAGUCGAACGGCGGCAGGAGGAAACCUAGUGAAUCCUGCCCUAGUGGCGGACGGGUGAGUAGCGCGUGGAUAACCUGCCUUUCACAGGGGGAUAACAGCUGGAAACGGCUGCUAAUACCGCAUGAGCCUCUUUUAUCGCAUGACGGGAGAGGGAAAGAGAAAUCGGUGAGAGAUGGAUCCGCGUCCGAUUAGCUAGUUGGAGGGGUAACAGCCCACCAAGGCGACGAUCGGUAGCCGACCUGAGAGGGUGGACGGCCACAUUGGGACUGAGACACGGCCCAAACUCCUACGGGAGGCAGCAGUGGGGAAUAUUGCACAAUGGGGGAAACCCUGAUGCAGCAACGCCGCGUGAGUGAGGAAGUAUUUCGGUAUGUAAAGCUCUAUCAGCAGGGAAUAGAAAAGAAGGUACCUGAAAAAGAAGCCCCGGCUAACUACGUGCCAGCAGCCGCGGUAAUGCGUAGGGGGCAAGCGUUAUCCGGAUUUACUGGGUGUAAAGGGAGCGUAGACGGAAAGGCAAGUCAGAAGUGAAAGCCCAAGGCUCAACCAUGGGACUGCUUUUGAAACUGUCAAACUAGAGUACGGGAGAGGUAAGAGGAAUUCCUAGUGUAGCGGUGAAAUGCGUAGAUAUUAGGAGGAACACCAGUGGCGAAGGCGUCUUACUGGACCGAAACUGACGUUGAGGCUCGAAAGCGUGGGGAGCAAACAGGAUUAGAUACCCUGGUAAUCCACGCGGUAAACGAAUG